CACCUCAUGAUGCAUUUUAAGACUGCAUUGAGAUUCAAGUAAUACAACAGACUUAAUUUUCUAUUUUAGAAAUGCUGAAUAUCAGAACUGUAAUGUAUUCAAGGAAUCUGUCUUAGAAGGGAUCUCAGCUUUAUCAAUGCUCCUUCCGACUUCUGGAUUCCUCCUUAAACAGUUUCAUGAAGUAGUUGUGUUCUGCUUGAAAACUCUAUUCCCACCAUCAACGGCAUCACUGUUUGCACCAUUAGUAAAUGAAUUAACAAGCAGAUGUCCUGGAUCUAAUCCAGGAUUUAACUGAUUCAAGGUUGUUGGGUCCAGUGGAAACCUUGAGACCCCUCCUCCCUGGCUGGCUCUGAAGUCCAAUAUUUGUCUUCUUGGCAUGGCAGAGAAUAUGUAGAGAAGUUCAGAGAAGAACAAUCCAAUCAACACUGAAAGAAUACUUAUGACAUUUCCUCAGUGUAAUGGCCCUCAGGGAAACUGCAUUCUAGAGGAGAGUAAAGAAGGUCAUAAAGAGAAGAAAGAGCCAGGAAAGAGUCGAAAUACAUGUUUGCAGACCUCCCCAGAUCUCCCAUCCCCGGGGGAGCUCCUUGAAGAUCAUUUAUGAAAAUCAGCAGUAAGCACCAGUGGCCUUUUGAAACCUCUCAGUGAGUGCUUAAUGCAGUAAUUGUUUACUCUGAUUUGUAAUGAGAGAGAAUAACCUGGUGAUGUUAGUGACUGAUUAAUUUUCCUGCAUGUAUUCCAGAGCAGAAGGCACCUUGAAGAGCGAGACUCAUUUUCUCCCCCUGCGGAUUACCCUGUCUUGAUUCAUGCAACCACACUGUACCCCACCGGCACACCUCGGAUCACAGCUUGCCUUGGAUUUGCAUAAUAUGAAAUUGCUUAGCUAAAUUAUUAUCACA
rnacentral:lncRNA from 1 species